rnacentral:lncRNA from 1 species
UGCUACUCUACUCUAGUCUAUGAGAACUGUUACUCUACUCUAGUCUAUCAGAGCUGCUCCUCUACUCUAGUCAAUCAGAACUUCCACUCUACUCUAGUCUAUCAGAGCUGCUGCUCUAUACUAGUCUAUCAGAUAUGCUACUCUACACUACUCUAUCAGAGCUGCUACUCUACUGUAGUAUAUCAUAACUGCUUCUCUAUUCUAGUCUAUCAGAACUGCUACUCUUCUCUAGUCUAUCAGAACUCUUACUCUACUCUACUCUAGUCUAUCAGAACCUCUACUCUUCUUUAGUCUAUCAUAACUUUUACUCUACUCUAGUCUAGUCUUUCAGAACCUCUCCUCUAGUCUAUCAGAACCUCUACGCUACUCUAGUCUAUCAGAGCUGCUACUCUACUCUACUCUAGUCUAUCAUAACUGUUACUCUACUCUAGUCUAGUAACUGUUACUCUACUCUAUCAGAACUGUUACUCUACUCUUUUCCUUCAGAACUGUUACUCUACUCUAUCAAAACUUCCACUAUAGUCUAUCAGAUAUUCUACGCUAUCAGAUCGUGUACUCUACUAUAUCAGAACUGCUACUCCUGUCUAUCAGAUCUUCUACUCUACUCUAGUCUCUCAGAACUUCUACUCUACUCUACUCUAUCAGAACUCCUACUCUACUCUAGUCUGUCAGAACUGUUACUCUACUCUACUCUAGUCUAUCAGAACCUCUAAUCUACUCUAGUCUAUCAGAACUUUUACUCUACUCUACUCUAGUCUAUCAGAACCUCUACUCUACUCUAGUCUAUCAAAACUGCUACUCUACUCUAGUCUAUCAGAACUGCUACUCUACUCUAGUCUAUGAGAACUUCUACUCUACUCUAGUCUAUCAGAGCUGCUCCUCUACUCUAGUCAAUCAGAACUUCCACUCUACUCUAGUCUAUCAGAGCUGCUGCUCUACACUAGUCUAUCAGAUAUGCUACUCUUCUCUACUCUAUCAGAACUGCUACUCUAGUCUAUCAGAACUGCUACUUUAGUCUAUCAGAACUUCUACUCUACUCCGGUCUAUCAGAUCUGCUACUCUACUCUAACAUGUCAGAACUGCAACUCUACUAUAUCAGAACUUCUACUCUACUCUAGCCUAUCAGAACUGCUACACUACUCUAGUGUAUCAGAACUGCUACUCUACUCAAGUCUAUCAGAACUUCUACUCUAUUCUAGUCUGUCAGAAAGUCUACUCUACUCUAGUCUAUCAGAACCUCUACUCUACUCUAGCCUAUCAGAACCUCUACUCUACUCUAGUCUAUCAGAACUGUUACUCUACUCUAGUCUAUCAGAACCUCAACUCUACUCUAGUCUAUCAGAACCUCUACUCUACUCUAGUCUAUCAGAACCUCUACUCUACUCUAGUCUAUCAGAGCAGUUACUCUACUCUACUCUAGUCUAUCAGAACUGUUACUCUACUCUAGUCUAUCAGAACUGUUACUCUACUCUUUUCCUUCAGAACUGUUACUCUACUGUAUCAAAACUUCCACUGUAGUCUAUCAGAUAUUCUUCUCUAUGAGAUUGUCUACUCUACUAUAUCAGAACUGCUACUCUACUCUAGCCUAUCAGAUCUGUUGCUCUACUCUUGUCUAUCAGAUAUGCUACUCUAAUCUACUCUACUCUAGUCUAUCAGAACCUCUACUCUACUGUGGGCUAUACUCGGCCUUGUCCCGGGAUGGUAUGUUGGUGGUUGGAGAUAUCCCUCCAGUGGUGUGGAGGCUGUGCUUUUACAAAGUGGGUGGGGUUAUAUCCUACCUGUUUGGCCCUGUCCGGGGGUUUCAUCGGAUGGGGCCACAGUGUCUCCUGACCCCUCCUUUCUCAGCCUCCAGUGUUUAUGCUGCAGUAGUUUAUGUGUCGGGGGGCUAAGGUCAGUCUGUCACAUCUGGAGUAUUUCUCUUAUCUUUUCCGGUGUCCUGUGGGAAUUUAAAUAUGCUCUCUCUAAUUCUCUCUUUCUCUUUCUUUCUUUCUCUCUUUCGGAGGACCUGAGCCCUAGGACCAUGCAUCAGGACUACCUGGCUUGAUGACUCCUUGCUGUCCCCAGUUCACCUGUCCGUGCUGCUGCUCCAGUUCCACCUGUUCUGCCUGCAGCUAUGGAACCCUGACCUGUUCACCGGACGUGCUACCUGUCCCAGACCUGUUGUCCCAGACCUGCUGGAACCCUGACCUAUUCACCGGACGUGCUACCUGUCCCAGACCUGCUGUUUUCAACUCUCGAGAGACAGCAGGAGCGGUAGAGAUACUCUCAAAGAUCGGCUAUGAAAAAGCCAACUGACACUUACUCUUGUGUUACUGACUUGUUGCACCCUCGACAACUACUAUGAUUAUUAUUAUUUGACAAUGCUGGUCAUUUAUGAACAUUUGAACAUCUAGGCCAUGUGCUGUUAUAAUCUCCACCCAGCACAGCCAGAAGAGGACUGGCCAACCCUCAUAGCCUGGUUCCUCUCUAGGUUUCUUCCUAGGUUUUGGCCUGUCUAGGGAGUUUUUCCUAGCCACCAUGCUUCUACACCUACAUUGCUUGCUGUUUGGGGUUUUAGGCUGGGUUUCUGUACAGCACUUUGUGAUAUCAGCUGAGGUAAGAAGGGCUAUAUAAAUUUGAUUUGAUUUGAUACUCUACUCUAUCAGAAAUCCUAUUUUACUCUAGUCUAUCGGAACUUUUACUCUACUCUACCCUAUCAGAACCUCUACUCUACUCUAGUCUAUCAGAUCUGCCACUCAACUCUACUCUAUCAGAAAUCCUACUCUACUCUAGACUAUCAGAACUGUUACUCUACUCUAGUCUAUCAGAACCUCUACUCUACUCUAGUCUAUCAGAACUGCUACUCUACUCUAGUCUAUCAGAACAUCUACUCUACUCUUGUCUAUCAGAACGGCUACUCUACUCUAGUCUAUCAGAAAUGCUACACCACUCUACUCUAUCAGAACUGCUACUCUACUCAAGUCUAUCAGAACUGUUACUCUACUCUAGUCUAUCAGAACUGCUACUCUACUCUAUCAGAACUCUUACUCUACUCAACUCUAGUCUAUCAGAACCUCUACUCUACUCUAGUCUAUCAGAACCUCAACUCAACUCUAGUCUAUCAGAACCUCUACUCUACUCUAAAACUUCCACUGUAGUCUAUCAGGUAUUCUACUCUAUCAGAUUGUCUACUCUACCAUAUCAGAACUGCUACACCUGUCUAUCAGAUCUUCUACUCUACUCUAUCAGAGCUGCUACUCUAGUCUAUCAGAAUUGCUACUUUAGUCUAUCAGAACUUCUACUCUACUCCGGUCUAUCAUAUCUGCUACUCUACUCUAACAUGUCAGAACUGUUACUCUACUCUAGUCUAUCAGAACUGCUACUCUACUCAAGUCUAUCAGAACUGUUACUCUACUCUAGUCUAUCAGAACUUCUACUCUACUCUAGUCUAUCAGAAUGUCUACUCUACUCUACUCUAGUCUUUCAGAAACUCUACUAUACUCUGGUCUAUCAUAACUGCUACUCUACUCUACUCUAGUCUAUCAGAACUGCUACACUACUCUACUCUAUCAGAACUGCUACUCUACUCAAGUCUAUCAGAACUGUUACUCUACUCUAGUCUAUAAGAACUUCUACUCUACUCUAGUCUAUCAGAACGUCUACUCUACUCUACUCUAGUCUUUUAGAACCUUUACUCUACUCUAGUCUAUCAUAACUGCUACUCUACUCUAUCAGAACCUCUACUCUACUCUAGUCUAUCAGAACCUCUACUCUAGUCUAUCAGAACCUCUACUCUAGUCUGUCAGAACUGUUACUCUACUCUAGACUAUCAGAACCUCUACUAUACUCUAGUCUAUCAGAACUGUUACUUUACUCUACUCUAGCCUAUCAGAACCUCUACUCUACUCUAGUCUAUCAGAACCUCUACUCUACUCUAGUGUAUCUGAACUUUUACUCUACUCUAGUCUAUCAGAAACUCUACUCUACUCUAUCAGAACCUCUACUCUACUCUAGUCUAUCAGAACCUCUACUCUACUCUAGUCUAUCAGAGCAGCUACUCUACACUACUCUAGUCUAUCAGAACUGUUACUCUACUCUAGUCUAUCAGAACUGUUACUCUACUCUUUUCCUUCAGAACUGUUACUCUACUUUAUCAAAACUUCCGCUGUAGUCUAUCAGAUAUUCUACUCUAUCAGAUCGUCUACUCUACUAUAUCAGAACUGCUACUCCUGUCUAUUAGAUCUGCUACUCUACUCUACUCUAUCAGAACUGCUACUCUACUCAAGUCUAUCAGAACUGUUACUCUACUCUAGUCUAUCAGAACUUCUACUCUAGUCUAUCAGAACAUCUACUCUACUCUACUCUAGUCUAUCAGAACCUCUACUCUACUCUGUCAGAACCUCUACUCUACUCUAGUCUAUCAGAACCUCUACUCUACUCUAUUCUAUCAAAACUGCUACUCUACUCUAGUCUAUCAGAACUUCUACUCUACUCUAUCAGAACUGUUACUCUACUAUACUCUAGCCUAUCAGAACCUCUACUCUACUCUAGUCAAUCAGAACUGUUACUCUUCUCUAGUCUAUCAGAACCUCUACUCUACUCUAGUCUAUCAGAGCAGCUACUCUACUCUACUCUAGUCUAUCAGAACUGUUACUCUACUCUAGUCUAUCAGAACUGUUACUCUACUCUUUUCCUUCAGAACUGUUACUCUACUCUAUCAAAACUUCCACUGUAGUCUAUCAGAUAUUCUACUCUAUCAGAUUGUCUACUCUACUAUAUCAGAACAUCUACUCCUGUCUGUCAGAUCUGCUACUCUACUCUAGUCUAUCGGAACUUCUUCUCUACUCCAUCAGAAAUUCUACUCGACUCUACUCUAGUCUAUCAGAACCUCUACUCUACUCUAGUAUAUCAUAACUGCUUCUCUAUUCUAGUCUAUCAGAACUGCUCCUUUACUCUAGUCAAUCAGAACUUCAACUCUACUCUAGUCUAUCAGAGCUGCUGCUCUACACUAGUCUAUCAGAUAUGCUACUCUACUCUACUCUAUCAGAGCUGCUAAUCUAGUCUAUAAGAACUGCUUCUUUAGUCUAUCAGAACUUCUACUCUUCUUCCGGUCUAUCAGAUCUGCUACUCUACUCUAACAUUUCAGAACUUCAACUCUACUAUAUCAGAACUUCUACUCUACUCUAGUCUAUCAGAACUGCUACACUACUCUACUCUAUCAGAAAUGCUACUCUACUCUAGUCUAUCAGAACGGCUACUCUACUCUAGUCUAUCAGAACGUCUACUCUACUCUUUCAGAACCUCUACUCUACUCUAUCAUAACUGCUACUCUACUCUAUCAGAACUCUUACUCUACUCUACUCUAGCCUAUCAGAAUCUCUACUCUACUCUAGUCUAUCAGAACUGUUACUCUACUCUAGUCUAUCAGAACCUCUACUCUACUCUAGUCUAUCAGAACCUCUACUCUACUCUAGUCUAUCAGAGCAGCUACUCUACUCUACUCUAGUCUAUCAGAACUGUUACUCUACCCUAGUCUAUCAGAACUGUUACUCUACUCUAGUCUAUCAGAACUGUUACUCUACUCUACUCUAGUCUAUCAGAACCUCUACUCUACUCUAGUCUUUCAGAACCUCUACUCUACUCUAGUCUAUCAUAACUGCUACUCUACUCUAUCAGAACUGUUACCCUACUCUACUCUAGCCUAUCAGAACCUCUACUCUACUCUAGUCUAUCAGAACUGUUACUAUACUCUAGUCUAUCAGAACUGCUACUCUACUCUAGUCUAUCAGAACUGCUACUCUAGACUAUCAGAACUGUUACUCUACUCUACACUAUCAGAGCUGCUACUCCACUAUAGUCUAUCAGAACUGCUACUCUACUCUAGUCUAUCAGAACUGCUACUCCACUAUAGUCUAUCAGAUAUGCUACUCUACUCUAGUCUAUCAGAACUCCUACUCUGACACCAUUUAGCUGAAUGUGUCUGUGGCUGUUUAAGGCUUUUGUCACUUAACUACAAACACCUUGGCAUCAUCACUGCUUGUUGAGUUUGGCCUCCCACCUCCUCUAUGUGUUUCACCUACUUGGUUGAUCGGUCUUUAGCAAUGGCUCUGGUAUCCAUGUGUUGCUCCUGCUUUGGUUUUGAGCUGCACUGCUUUGCAAAGGAUUUUGUUUCCCACAAGCUUUGCACUCUUUUCCUUUCACUGGACAGUCUCCAUAAUGUGGGUAUUUGCCUCCACAAUUCCUGCAUUGGUUGUUUGCUUUAGCCCUUUGUGUGUGCUUGUUGGCAGCUGGCUGGUUGUUGCGUUGCUUCUGAUGCACUGUAUUGACUGUAGUACUAUUGAUCCACCAUGUGGUGUCAUAUUAGGUUGGUGUUGUCGUACACAAUUAUCGGUCUUCCUGCACUGUCAUGCCUGAACAUUACAGUAUCUGUGACCAACAGAUGCAUAUCUGUAUUCCCAGUCAUGUGAAAUCCAUAGAUUAGGGUCUAAUGAAUUUAUUUCAAUCGAACGCUUUCCUUAUAUGAACUGUAACUCAGUAAAAUUGCUACAUGUUGUGUUUAUAUUUUUGUUCAGUGUAGAUACAUGUUGAAUGGUAGAUAGACAAUUGGAAAAUACCAUGAAAAAAUACAAAGUGGAAGUCAAAUCUGUAUUUCCACAUCAUGUAACCUAGUGUUCUGUUCUCUCUGAGCAUGCAUAAAGACCUUAUUGUUCUGCUCCAUCUCCACAGAGGAACUCUGGAUCUCUGUCAGUGUCCAUCUGGUUCUUAGUCACCUCCCUGACCAAGGCCCUUCUCCCCCGAUUGCUCAUUUUGGUCAGGUGGCCAGCUCUAGGAAGAGUCUUGGUGGUUCCAAACUUCUUCUAUUAAAUUAAUUAUGGAGGCCACUGUGUUCUUGGGGACAUUCAAUGCUGCAUAAUUUAUUUGGUACCCUUCACCAGAUCUGUGCCUUGACACAAUCCUGUCUCGGAACUCUACAGACAAUUCCUUCGACCUCAUUGCUUGGAUUUUUCUAUGACAUGCACAGUCAACUGUGGGACCUUAUAUAGACAGGUGUGUGCCUUUCCAAAUCAUGUCCAAUCAAUUGAAUUUACCACUGGUGGACUCCAAUCAAGUUUUAGAAACAUCUCAAGGAUGACUAAUGGAAACAGGAUGCACCUGAGCUCAAUUUCAACUCUCAAAGCAAAGGGUCUGAAUAUUUAUGUAAAUAAGGUAUUUCUGUUUUUUAUUUUUAAUACAUUUGCAAAAACAAAAUGUUUUUUUCGCUUUGUCUUUAUGAGGUAUUGUCUGUAGUUUGCCGAGGAUAAAAAAAUAAAAUAAUUGUGAAGAUGGCUGUAACGUAAAAAUGUUGAAAAAGGGAAGGGGUCUGAACACUUUCCGAAUGAACUGUAUAUGCACCAUGCCACUGCCUACUUCAUUUGUUAAUUUAGCAAACAAGACAACAUAUUAAUCCAGUGCCCUUAUCACAGUCAACACACCUAUAUUUUUUAUUUAAUUAGCUUUAAAAAUGCAAAAUGUUCUCUCAGCCUCAUGGCAAAAUGUGUAGAAUAGCAUGUGACGAGCUUUAAAACAGCAACAUUUUCUCUAAGCCUCAUGGCAAAAUGUGUAAUAUAGCAUGAGAUCAGCUAUAUAACUGAACAUUAUUUGGGGGGACACCCAAAUUUCUGCAGGCCCACCCAUCAACAAAUGUUUAGCUACGCCACUGGACUGCACUGGGCCUUUAAACUGCCAUAUGCUUUUAUCACUAGUUAUUAUUGUAUUUUAAUAGACUGUAUUCAUUUACCAGUGUUUUAUUGUUUUUAAUGAGGUCUACUAAUUUCCAGUGGUGUAAAGUACUUAAGUUAAAAUACUUUAAAGUACUACUUAAGUAGUUUUUUGGGGUAUCUGUACUAGAGGUCGACCUCUAAUCUGUACUUUACUUUACUAUUUAUAUUUUUGACAACUUUUAUUUUUACUUCACUACAUUCCUAAAGAAAAUUGUAUCCUUUUUACUGCCUGACACCCAAAAGUACUAGUUACAAUUGGAAUGCUUAGCAGGACAGGAAAAAGGUCCAAUUCACACACUUAUCAAGAGAACGUCCCUGGUCAUCCCUACUCUCGGAUCUGGUGGACUCACUAAACACAAAUGCUUCCUUUGUAAAUCAUGUCUGAGUGUUGGAGUGUGCCCUUGGCUGUCAAAAAAAGUUAUACAAAAUGAAAUUUUGCUGUCUGGUUUGAUAAAUAUAAGGAAUUUGAUGUAUAGCAUUUACUUUUACUUUGUACUUUUACUCAAGUAUGAAAACUGAGUACUUUUUACACCACUGUAAAUCGGAUACUUUUAGAAUUUUACUCAGGUAGUAUUUUACUGGGUUACUUUCACUUUUACUUGAGUCGUUUUAUAUUAAGGUAUCUUUACUUUUACUCAAGUAUGACAUUUGAGUACUUUUCCCACCUCUGACUAAUUGCUAUACUGACUUGUGAAAUACAGUUGACGUCAACGCUGAUAACACUUUAUGACAGUAUUUUAAAAAAUCCUCUCCUUGUUUAAUCAGAGCCUUGCUGUAUCUGUUUAUAUUUUCUAAAGCUUUAUAAAUGUUAUAUAUGCUUUACUAAUAAAAUGUG